AACGGUCAUACCAUGCUGAAUAUACCGGUUCUCGUUAGAUCACCGAAGUCAAGCAUCAUUGGGCGCGGUCAGUACUUGGGUGGGUGACCACCUGGGAACCACCGCGUGCCGU
rnacentral:rRNA from 1 species